UACGGAGGGUGCAAGCGUUGUCCGGAAUCACUGGGCGUAAAGGGCGCGUAGGCGGCUCAUGAAGGCUGUGGUGAAAGUCCGGGGCUCAACCUCGGAUCGGCCGUGGCGACUCGUGGGCUGGAGCACUGUAGAGGCGGGUGGAAUUCCGGGUGUAGCGGUGGAAUGCGUAGAGAUCCGGAAGAACACCAGUGGCGAAGGCGCCCGCUGGGCAGUGGCUGACGCUGAGGCGCGACAGCGUGGGGAGCAAACAGG
rnacentral:rRNA from 1 species